rnacentral:misc_RNA from 1 species
GAUGAAGAACGUAGCGAAAUGCGAUAAGUAGUGUGAAUUGCAGAAUUCAGUGAAUCAUCGAAUCUUUGAACGCACAUUGCGCCCUUUGGUAAUCCUUAGGGCAUGCCUGUUCGAGCGUCAUUUAAACCUUCAAGCUCAGCUUGGUGAUGGGCGACUGUCCCCCCCCCUCGCGGGGGGGACUCGCCUCAAAAACAUUGGCGGCCGGUACAUUGGCUUCGAGCGCAGCAGAAACGCGGUCUCGAGCCCGGUGGAUCGGCUCCCAUAAGCCUAUUCUUUUAUUUUGACCUCGGAUCAGGUAGGGAUACCCGCUGAACUUAAGCAUAUCAAUAAGCGGAGGA